rnacentral:rRNA from 1 species
CUAAUGUACCCCUGAGCCUGGGAUAGCUGUCCGAAAGGACAGGUAAUACCAGAUGAAAUAACCAGAUCGCAUGAUCAGGUUCUCAAAGGAGUAAUCCACUCUAGGAGCAGGCGAUAUCGUAUCAGGUAGUUGGUAGGGUAACGGCCUACCAAGCCGACGACGCGUAGCUGGUCUGAGAGGACGGCCAGCCACAUCGGGACUGAGACACUGCCCGG